rnacentral:rRNA from 1 species
CGAGAAAGCCCGCAAGGGUGAGUACAGCGGCGCACGGGUGCGUAACACGUGGGUAAUCUGCCCUGGAGCCCGGAAUAACUCCCCGAAAGGGGUGCUAAUGCCGGAUGAGCCCACGGGGUCCUUGGACCCUGAGGGAAAAGGUGGCCUCUGUAUACAAGCUAUCACUUCAGGAUGAGCCCGCGGCCCAUCAGCUCGUUGGCGGGGUAAUGGCCCACCAAGGCUACGACGGGUAGCUGGUCUGAGAGGACGAUCAGCCACACUGGAACUGAGACACGGUCCAGACUCCUACGGGAGGCAGCAGUGGGGAAUCUUGCGCAAUGGGCGAAAGCCUGACGCAGCAACGCCGCGUGUGUGAUGAAGGUCUUCGGAUCGUAAAGCACUGUCGCGAGGGACG